GCCAUGAAUGUAGCUGAAGUAAGCACUGUAGAGUGCGUAGAGUUUGGUUGGACAUCUAAGACACUAAAGUCAUUUAGGUUCAGUGUCAAUCAUCUAGGUUCAGUGUCAGUCAUCCAGACUUUAGUCUUGCCACAGGAUUUAGAUGACUCUGGAAGAAAGAGUGAGGCUGACAAUUUUGUGCAACUCACUUAAAUCCAAUUCAUACACAAGUUAAAAUAUUACUCUGUGAUGUCACUGGUACUUUUCAGACAUAAGGAUCACCACCACCGCUGCCAACUGAUUAAUCAACAUUUUUGACUGUCUCAUCCUUUUAAGUCUUCUUAAAUCUAGCUUUAUUUGUUUUUAACUGCCCUAGCAGCGGGACUAGUAUUUUCUUGGUAGUUAUCCUAGAUCAUCAGUCUUAGAAGGAACCUCAAAGACCACCCACUUUAAUCCCUUCAUUUUGUAGGUGUGAAAAAUGAGGCACAGAGAAGAUAUUCAGAUAGUUACCUUCCCAGCGGUGACUUCAUGGCUUCUGGCUCUAAAAGCAAUACCAUAGGUAGGUUAUUCACUUUAUAAGAUGCCUAAGCCUUGGUCAGCAAUAGUAACCAAUGAAAGAUUGCUGUUGUCCCUUGCUAAUCCUAGUAAAAUAUUUGUGUACUGUUGUACUCAUUGAAUUAUUUAUUUUUCUUAGAGACCCCAAUAAAAAAAGAAAAAGAAGAAGAAGAAAUAGUAGUGGAGGAAGAGAUUAUUAGCACUGGAAAACCUACAGAGGGAAAGACUAAAAAGAGAUUUUCCUGGUUCCACAAUAUCAAAGAAUGCAAGCUGUGGAACUUCUUUCAUUUUAAAAAACAUGACAAACAAGUAAAGAAUGUGCACAAGUGGGAAGAAAUUGAUCAAGAGGUAUUGGAAGAUUACUGUCCUUAUUCUACUGAAGCCCCUAAAACAUUGCCAACAGAGUGGACAAAUAUUGAAGUUGGUAAUUGGUUAUGGAGCAUUGGAAUGGAGGAGUAUGUUGUAAAAUUUUAUUGUAAAGGAAUAAGUGGUGAAAAACUCCUUACACUGGACAAUCACUCGCUAAAAGAAAUCGAAGUCAACAAGAAGAAAGACCGCCGGAAAAUACUUAAGGCUAUUAAGAAAGUUAGAGAUUUUUGGGAAAAAAAUCAUCAUUUCGUCUUAUUAUAGAAAUUGAUGGAAAGAAGACACAGAACCAGAAAGAUGGCAAAAAUGGAAAAUGCAAUUACUUUUGUUAUAUUGAAUUUUCAUCAUUUUACUUCUGUUACUUUUGUUAUAUGAACUUUUAAGGGAUUUUACUUCCAUGUUACUUUUGUUAUAUGAACUUUUAAUCAUUUUAUUACUGUUACUUUUGUUAUUAUUAACUUUUAAUUAUUUCACUUUCAUGUUACAUUUGUUAUAUGAACUUUUAAGUGAUUUUACUUCCAUGUUAUUUUUGUUAUUAUUAACUUUUAAUCAUUUCACUUCUAUGCUACUUUUUUAUAUGAACUUUUAAGGAAUUUACUUCUAUGUUACUUUUGUUAUAUGAACUUUUAAGGAAUUUACUUCCAUGUUACUUUUGUUAUAUGGACUUUUAAUCAUUUUAUUACUGAACUUUUGUUAUUAUUAAC
rnacentral:lncRNA from 1 species